rnacentral:ribozyme from 18 species
AAUCCAUGUACCGAAUGAAAGAUAGUUACAAAGAAAGAAAAAAAUAAAGCAAAGGAGACGCAU